CAGUCGAGCGGCAGCGGAAAGUAGCUUGCUACUUUGCCGGCGAGCGGCGGACGGGUGAGUAAUGUCUGGGAAACUGCCUGAUGGAGGGGGAUAACUACUGGAAACGGUAGCUAAUACCGCAUAACGUCGCAAGACCAAAGAGGGGGACCUUCGGGCCUCUUGCCAUCAGAUGUGCCCAGAUGGGAUUAUCUAGUAGGUGGGGUAACGGCUCACCUAGGCGACGAUCCCUAGCUGGUCUGAGAGGAUGACCAGCCACACUGGAACUGAGACACGGUCCAGACUCCUACGGGAGGCAGCAGUGGGGAAUAUUGCACAAUGGGCGCAAGCCUGAUGCACCCAUGCCGCGUGUAUGAAGAAGGCCUUCGGGUUGUAAAGUACUUUCAGCGGGGAGGAAGGCGUUGAGGUUAAUAACCUCAGCGAUUGACGUUACCCGCAGAAGAAGCACCGGCUAACUCCGUGCCAGCAGCCGCGGUAAUACGGAGGGUGCAAGCGUUAAUCGGAAUUACUGGGCGUAAAGCGCACGCAGGCGGUCUGUCAAGUCGGAUGUGAAAUCCCCGGGCUCAACCUGGGAACUGCAUUCGAAACUGGCAGGCUAGAGUCUUGUAGAGGGGGGUAGAAUUCCAGGUGUAGCGGUGAAAUGCGUAGAGAUCUGGAGGAAUACCGGUGGCGAAGGCGGCCCUCUGGACAGAGACUGACGCUCAUGUGCGAAAGCGUGGAGAGCAAACAGGAUUAUAUACCCUGAUAGUCCACGCCGUAAACGAUGUCGACUUGGGAGGUUGUGCCUCUUUGACGCGUGUCUUCCGGGAUCUAACGCGUUAAAGUCGACCCGCCCUGGGGAGAAGCACGGGCCCGACAAAGGGUUUAAAACAACUUCA
rnacentral:rRNA from 1 species